rnacentral:rRNA from 1 species
GAUGAACGCUAGCGGCAGGCUUAAUACAUGCAAGUCGUGGGGCAGCAUGACUGUAGCAAUACAGUUGAUGGCGACCGGCAAACGGGUGCGGAACACGUACACAACCUUCCUUUAAGUGGGGAAUAGCCCAGAGAAAUUUGGAUUAAUACCCCGUAACAUAUGAAGUGGCAUCACUUUAUUAUUAUAGCAGCAAUGCGCUUGAAUAUGGGUGUGCGGCUGAUUAGAUAGUUGGCGGGGUAACGGCCCACCAAGUCGACGAUCAGUAACUGGUGUGAGAGCACGACCAGUCACACGGGCACUGAGACACGGGCCCGACUCCUACGGGAGGCAGCAGUAAGGAAUAUUGGUCAAUGGACGAAAGUCUGAACCAGCCAUGCCGCGUGGAGGAUGAAGGCCCUCUGGGUUGUAAACUUCUUUUAUAUGGGACGAAAAAGGGCCUUUCUAGGUCAACUGACGGUACCAUGUGAAUAAGCACCGGCUAACUCCGUGCCAGCCGCCGCAGUAAUAC